rnacentral:rRNA from 1 species
AAUUGGAGGGCAAGUCUGGUGCCAGCAGCCGCGGUAAUUCCAGCUCCAAUAGCGUAUAUUAAAGUUGUUGCAGUUAAAAAGCUCGUAGUUGAAUUUCGGGGUUAGUAGGCUGGUCAUGCCACCGGUAUGUACUGGUCUUACUGAUUCCUCCUUCCUGAUGAACUGUAAUGCCAUUAAUUUGGUGUUGCAGGGAAUCUGGACUGUUACUUUGAAAAAAUUAGAGUGUUUAAAGCAGGCUAACGCUUGAAUACAUUAGCAUGGAAUAAUGAAAUAGGACGUUCGAUCCUAUUUUGUUGGUUUCUAGGAUUGACGUAAUGAUUAAUAGGGAUAGUUGGGGGCAUUAGUAUUCAAUUGUCAGAGGUGAAAUUCUUGGAUUUAUUGAAGACUAACUACUGCGAAAGCAUUUGCCAAGGAUGUUUUCAUUAAUCAAGAACGAAAGUUAGGGGAUCGAAGACGAUCAGAUACCGUCGUAGUCUUAACCAUAAACUAUGCCGACUAGGGAUCGGAUGAUGUUAAUUUUUUAAUGACUCAUUCGGCGCCUUACGGGAAACCAAAGUGU